rnacentral:lncRNA from 1 species
AUAUAAUAUUAGCAGUUUUCAGCCCCUUGGCCUUAUAUUAUGAGUCCCUAAAUAUCUCUAAAUUGUCCUGAGGAGCACUCCUAUUUCUCAUGGAGACUUCAAAUGGCAAAAUUGUGAUUGUUAUAAAAAUUCUAAAACUAUAAUUUCAGCCUGUAUUUCAUGAUUUUCUGCCUUCUGAUUUACCUAUAUCAGAAUCAGUGUCUUGAGAAAUAAUGGACAGAGAUAAGCUGAUUAUAAUUUAUUUGGGAAUCCAAAAGUAGAAUAAAGUUAAUAACAUUUAGACUGAGAAAGUUGUUUUUUUUUUUUUCUGUUUGUAGUUAAAGCUACAUUAUCUGUAUUUCUGGUAGGUCUCUUUUAAAAAAUUUUAUAUUUCUGUAGAUACUAAUUUUUGACAUUUACAAGGUUUUAUUUUUAUAUGUAUUCUUAUCUGUAAAUUGAGAAUAUUUAGCCAUUGCUCUCAUAUGUAGAAAAUCAAGAACUAACCAUGUUAGGAAAAGAAUUGUUGAUACCAUUUUUAUUAGGGCUAGAAUUGCUCAUUUACACUGUAUUUCCUGGCUGCUUUGUACCAUGUAUUAUAUGAAGCAUUAUCAUUUUAAU